rnacentral:tRNA from 1 species
GCGGGAUUAAUUUAAUGGUAGAAUGCCAGUUUUCCAAACUGGAGACGAGGGUCCGAUUCCCUCAUCCCGCA